AUCGCUUCUCGGCCUUUUGGCUAAGAUCAAGUGUAGUAUCUGUUCUUAUCAGUUCAGAUCUACUGAAGCAGGCUGAAGUCUGAAGAUCUGAAGCAGGAGAAAGAGAACAUCU
rfam:Xenopus tropicalis strain Nigerian Chr08_contig_2614, whole genome shotgun sequence.